UCCACGGGUGGGGGAGUAACACUGGGAAACGUGGUGCUAAUACCGCAUGAUACCUGAGGGUCAAAGGCGCAAGUCGCCUGUGGAGGAGCCUGCGUCGAUUAGCUUGUUGGUGGGGUAAAGGCCUACCAAGGCGACGAUCGAUAGCUGGUCUGAGAGGAUGAUCAGCCACACUGGGACUGAGACACGGCCCAG
rnacentral:rRNA from 1 species